rnacentral:rRNA from 1 species
CUCUGUGACUCCUACGGGAGGCAGCAGUGGGAAUAUUGCACAAUGGGCGCAAGCCUGAUGCAGCCAUGCCGCGUGUAUGAAGAAGGCCUUCGGGUUGUAAAGUACUUUCAGCAGUGAGGAAGGUGGUGCAGUUAAUAGCUGUAUCAUUUGACGUUAGCUGCAGAAGAAGCACCGGCUAACUCCGUGCCAGCAGCCGCGGUAAUACGGAGGGUGCGAGCGUUAAUCGGAAUUACUGGGCGUAAAAGCGCAUGCAGGUGGUUUGUUAAGUCAGAUGUGAAAAGCCCGGGCUCAAACCUCGGAAAUUGCAUUUGAAAAACUGGCAGACUAGAGUACUGUAGAGGGGGUAGAAUUUCAGGUGUAGCGGUGAAAAUGCGUAGAGAUCUGAAGGAAUACCAGUGGCGAAGGCGGCCCCUGGACAAAGACUGACGCUCAGAUGCGAAAGCGUGGGGAGCAAACAGGAUUAGAUACCCUGGUAG